rnacentral:rRNA from 1 species
UGGGGAAUAUUGGACAAUGGGGGCAACCCUGAUCCAGCAAUGCCGCGUGUGUGAAGAAGGUCUUCGGAUUGUAAAGCACUUUCGACGGGGACGAUGAUGACGGUACCCGUAGAAGAAGCCCCGGCUAACUUCGUGCCAGCAGCCGCGGUAAUACGAAGGGGGCUAGCGUUGCUCGGAAUGACUGGGCGUAAAGGGCGUGUAGGCGGUUUACACAGUCAGAUGUGAAAUCCCCGGGCUUAACCUGGGAGCUGCAUUUGAUACGUGUAGACUAGAGUGUGAGAGAGGGUUGUGGAAUUCCCAGUGUAGAGGUGAAAUUCGUAGAUAUUGGGAAGAACACCGGUGGCGAAGGCGGCAACCUGGCUCAUGACUGACGCUGAGGCGCGAAAGCGUGGGGAGCAAACAGGAUUAGGAUACCCUGGUAGUCCACGCUGUAAACGAUGUGUGCUAGAUGUUGGGUAACUUUGUUAUUCAGUGUCGCAGUUAACGCGUUAAGCACACCGCCUGGGGAUACGGCCGCAAGGUUGAA